UAAUUAUGUGAUGAACUUUACUGCCCCAGUCUGAGAACUGUGACUGAAUCAGUUUUCUGAGAAUUG